rnacentral:rRNA from 1 species
GGGUUGUGAGGUUAAGCGACUAAGCGUACACGGUGGAUGCCCUGGCAGUCAGAGGCGAUGAAGGACGUGCUAAUCUGCGAUAAGCGUCGGUAAGGUGAUAUGAACCGUUAUAACCGGCGAUUUCCGAAUGGGGAAACCCAGUGUGAUUCGUCACACUAUCAUUAACUGAAUCCAUAGGUUAAUGAGGCGAACCGGGGGAACUGAAACAUCUAAGUACCCCGAGGAAAAGAAAUCAACCGAGAUUCCCCCAGUAGCGGCGAGCGAACGGGGAGCAGCCCAGAGCCUGAAUCAGUGUGUGUGUUAGUGGAAGCGUCUGGAAAGGCGUGCGAUACAGGGUGACAGCCCCGUACACAAAAAUGCACAUACUGUGAGCUCGAUGAGUAGGGCGGGACACGUGGUAUCCUGUCUGAAUAUGGGGGGACCAUCCUCCAAGGCUAAAUACUCCUGACUGACCGAUAGUGAACCAGUACCGUGAGGGAAAGGCGAAAAGAACCCCGGCGAGGGGAGUGAAAAAGAACCUGAAACCGUGUACGUACAAGCAGUGGGAGCACGCUUAGGCGUGUGACUGCGUACCUUUUGUAUAAUGGGUCAGCGACUUAUAUUCUGUAGCAAGGUUAACCGAAUAGGGGAGCCGAAGGGAAACCGAGUCUUAACUGGGCGUUAAGUUGCAGGGUAUAGACCCGAAACCCGGUGAUCUAGCCAUGGGCAGGUUGAAGGUUGGGUAACACUAACUGGAGGACCGAACCGACUAAUGUUGAAAAAUUAGCGGAUGACUUGUGGCUGGGGGUGAAAGGCCAAUCAAACCGGGAGAUAGCUGGUUCUCCCCGAAAGCUAUUUAGGUAGCGCCUCGUGAAUUCAUCUCCGGGGGUAGAGCACUGUUUCGGCAAGGGGGUCAUCCCGACUUACCAACCCGAUGCAAACUGCGAAUACCGGAGAAUGUUAUCACGGGAGACACACGGCGGGUGCUAACGUCCGUCGUGAAGAGGGAAACAACCCAGACCGCCAGCUAAGGUCCCAAAGUCAUGGUUAAGUGGGAAACGAUGUGGGAAGGCCCAGACAGCCAGGAUGUUGGCUUAGAAGCAGCCAUCAUUUAAAGAAAGCGUAAUAGCUCACUGGUCGAGUCGGCCUGCGCGGAAGAUGUAACGGGGCUAAACCAUGCACCGAAGCUGCGGCAGCGACGCUUAUGCGUUGUUGGGUAGGGGAGCGUUCUGUAAGCCUGUGAAGGUGUGCUGUGAGGUAUGCUGGAGGUAUCAGAAGUGCGAAUGCUGACAUAAGUAACGAUAAAGCGGGUGAAAAGCCCGCUCGCCGGAAGACCAAGGGUUCCUGUCCAACGUUAAUCGGGGCAGGGUGAGUCGACCCCUAAGGCGAGGCCGAAAGGCGUAGUCGAUGGGAAACAGGUUAAUAUUCCUGUACUUGGUGUUACUGCGAAGGGGGGACGGAGAAGGCUAUGUUGGCCGGGCGACGGUUGUCCCGGUUUAAGCGUGUAGGCUGGUUUUCCAGGCAAAUCCGGAAAAUCAAGGCCGAGGCGUGAUGACGAGGCACUACGGUGCUGAAGCAACAAAUGCCCUGCUUCCAGGAAAAGCCUCUAAGCAUCAGGUAACAUCAAAUCGUACCCCAAACCGACACAGGUGGUCAGGUAGAGAAUACCAAGGCGCUUGAGAGAACUCGGGUGAAGGAACUAGGCAAAAUGGUGCCGUAACUUCGGGAGAAGGCACGCUGAUACGUAGGUGAAGCGACUUGCUCGUGGAGCUGAAAUCAGUCGAAGAUACCAGCUGGCUGCAACUGUUUAUUAAAAACACAGCACUGUGCAAACACGAAAGUGGACGUAUACGGUGUGACGCCUGCCCGGUGCCGGAAGGUUAAUUGAUGGGGUUAGCGCAAGCGAAGCUCUUGAUCGAAGCCCCGGUAAACGGCGGCCGUAACUAUAACGGUCCUAAGGUAGCGAAAUUCCUUGUCGGGUAAGUUCCGACCUGCACGAAUGGCGUAAUGAUGGCCAGGCUGUCUCCACCCGAGACUCAGUGAAAUUGAACUCGCUGUGAAGAUGCAGUGUACCCGCGGCAAGACGGAAAGACCCCGUGAACCUUUACUAUAGCUUGACACUGAACAUUGAGCCUUGAUGUGUAGGAUAGGUGGGAGGCUUUGAAGUGUGGACGCCAGUCUGCAUGGAGCCGACCUUGAAAUACCACCCUUUAAUGUUUGAUGUUCUAACGUGGACCCGUGAUCCGGGUUGCGGACAGUGUCUGGUGGGUAGUUUGACUGGGGCGGUCUCCUCCUAAAGAGUAACGGAGGAGCACGAAGGUUGGCUAAUCCUGGUCGGACAUCAGGAGGUUAGUGCAAUGGCAUAAGCCAGCUUGACUGCGAGCGUGACGGCGCGAGCAGGUGCGAAAGCA